CUCACGAACCGUGAGAUCAUGACCUGAGCUGAAGUCGGGUGCCCAACCGACCGCGCCACCCAGGUGCCCCUCAUUGAUCUAUAUUUCUAUCUUUUUGCUAAUAUCACUGUGUCUAGACUGCUGUUUAGCCUUGAAAUUAGGUAGUAUGAGGCCUCCAACUUUGUUCUUUUUCUAUUUUUUGUUUGUUUGUUGUUGGCUAUUAUGGUUCCUUUGGCUCUCCAUAUAAAAUUUUGAAUCAGCUGUCUGUGUCAACAAAAAAAUCCUGCAGAAUUGUGAUUGGGAUUGCACUGACUCUGUACAUUGGUUUGGAGAAAACUGUCAUCCUGACAGUCUUGAAUCUUCCAAUCCUUGACUAUUGUAUGUCUCAGCAUUUAUUUAGAUUUUCUUUGGUUUCUUCCAUCAAUCUUAUGUGGAUUUUAGCAGACAGAUUCUGCACGUGUUUUAUUAGGUUUAUACCUGAGUACUUUGCUUAUUUUGUAUACUAGUGUAGAUAGUAUUUUUUAAAUUUGAAAUUCCAGUUGUUCAUUGCUGGUAUAUAGGAAUAAGAUGACUUUUGUACGUUGACCCGUAUCCUGUCACCUUGCUAACUCACUAGUUUCAGGCACAUUAGGUCUUUGGAAUUUUUGAUGUACACAAUCAUGUUAUCUACAAAUAAGGUUUUUUUUUUUCUAUUCCAAUUUAUAUGUUCUUUACUUCUUUUUAUUGCAUUAUUAUACCAGUUAGGACAUUCAGUACGGUGUUGAGUAGGAGGGGUCAGAGGGCAUCCUUUCCUCAUUCCCAAUCUUAGGAGGAAACCAUCGAGUCAUCAUUAAGUAAGAAGUUAGUUUCAGGUUUUCCAUAGAUGCCUUUUAUUAGGUUAGGGAAGUUCCCUUCUGAGUUAGCUGACAGUUGCUAUCAUGAAUGGAUAUUGAAUUUAUUCUAAUGCUUUUCCUGCAUCCAGUAAGAUACUCAUGUGGUUAUUCUUCUUCAGAUUUUGACAAGGUGAGUUGCACCAAUUGCUUUUCAAAUGUUGAAGAAGCCUUGCAUUCCUGGGAUAAAUCCCACUUGGUUGUGUCAUAUUAUCUUUUUCAUAUAUUGAUGGAUUCAACUUGUUAAUAAUUUGUAAGAUAUUUUUGUGUUUUUUUAAAGAUUUUUAAAGUUUAUUUAUUUAUUUUGAAGGAGAGAGAGCAUGCAUGAGCAGGGGAGGGGCAGAGAGAGGGAAUCCCAGUGCAGAGCCUGAUGUAGGGCUCAAUCCCAUGAACAGUGAGAUCGUGAUCUGGGUCGAAGUUAAGAGUUGGAUGCUAAGCCGACUGAGCCCCCAGGUGCCCUUUUUGUAAGAUUUUUGUAUCUUUGUUCAUGAGGGAUAUUCAUUUGAAAUUUUCUUGAUUGUAAUGUCUUUAUAUGAUAAUUUUAUUGGGUAAUAAAAUACUAACCUUACAAAAUCAAUUGAGAAACGUUCCUUUAUCUUCUUUUUCAGGAUGAGAGUGUAUAGAAUUAUUAUUUCUUCCAUCAGUGUUUGGUUGACUUUACCCCCUGGGCCUGGAGUGUCUUUUUAGAAGGUUUAAAAUGACAAAUUCAGUUUCUUCAAUAAAUAUUAUAUAUAUACAUAUAUAUAUGUAUAUAUAUAUAAAAGAAAUAAAUAGAUUUCUUUAAUAGAAAUGCAUCUAUUCCUUCCUGAAUGAGUUUGAUAGUUUGCUUACUAAAGAAUCUCAUCUAGGGGCACCUGCGUGGCUCAGUCGGUUAAGCUCCAACUUCAGCUCAGGUCAUGAUCUCACAGCUUGUGAGUUCGAGCCCCACAUUGGGCUCUGUGCUGACAGCUCAGAGCCUGGAGCCUGCUUCAGAUUCCGUAUCUCCCUCUCUCUGCUCCUCCCCACUCACGCUCUGUCUCUGUCUCUCUCUCAAAAAUAAACAUUAAAAAAAUUUUUUUAAAUAAAGAAUUUCAUCUAUAUUAUCAAAUUUAUAAACAUAGAGUUUUUCAUAGAAUUUCCCUUAUGAUCUUUUUAGUGUCUGUGGGGUCAGUAGUAAUUUACCUUCUUUUAUUCCUGAUGUUGGUAACUCAUGUCCUCUCUAUUAUUCUUGGUCAGUUUAGUGAGAGGUUUAUCAAUUAUACUGAACUUUUCAAAGAACCAGCUUUUGGUUUUAUUAAUUUUCUCUAUUCUGUUUCUAUUUUCAAUUUUAAUUGAUUUCAGCUUUUACCUUCAUAAUUUCCUUCCUUUUUCUUGCUUUGGGUUUAUUUUGCUCUUUUUUCCCUAGAUUUUUGAAGUGUAAGAUUAGAUCAUGGAAUUGAGACAGUCUUCUUUUCCUACAUAAGCAUUUAAUGCUAUAAAUUUCCUUUGAAUCACUGUGUUAAGUGCUUCCCACAAAUUCUGAUGUGUUUGUUGUAUUUUCAUUUUCAUUCAGUUCCCCCCACCCCAAUUUCCCAUGUGACUUUCCCUUUGACCCAUGGAUAAUUUAGAAGUAUGUUAUUUGAUUUCCAAAUAUUUGGGAGAUUUACUAGAUAUCUUUCUUUUAUUACUGUCUAAUUCAAUCCCAUUAUGAUCCAGGAAGAUAUUUUGUAUGAUUUCCGUUAUUCUAAAUUUGUUAAGGUUGUUUUAUGGCCCAGAAUAUGGUCUUUCAUGGUGAAUGUUCCGUGUAUACUUACAAAAAAAUGUGUUUUCUGUUAUUGUUGGGUACAGUGUUACAGAAAUGUCAAUUACAUCAACUGGUUUAUAAUAUUGUUCAUGUUUUCUAUAUUGGCACUGACUGUCUGUCUACUUCUAUCAAUUACUGUGAAAGAGAUGUUGAAGGCUUUAAAUAUAAUUGUGGAUUUAUCUACUUCCCAUUCCAUUUCUGUCUGUUUUCAGUUUUUGGAAGUUCUCUUAUUAGCUAAAUACACAUUUAAGAUUGUUGUUAUUAUUUUAUUUUAUUUUAUUUUACUUUAUUUUAUAUUUUAGUGUUUAUUUAUUUUUGAGAGACAGAGAGAGACAGCAUGAGCUGGAGAGGGCAGAGAGAGAGAGAGGGAGACCCAGAAUAUGAAGCAGGUUCCAGGCUCUGAGCUGUCAGCCCAGAGCCUGACACGGGGUUCGAACUCACAGACCGCGAGAUCAUGACUGGAGCCGAAGUCAGACGCUCAACCGACUGAGCCACCCAGGCGCCCCAAGAUUGUUGUUAUUAUUUGUGUGUGUGUGUGUGUGUGUGUGUGUGUGUGAGAGAGAGAGAGAGAGAGAGAGAGAGAAUUGACCCUUUUCUCAUUAUGAAAUAUAUUUUUUUAUCCGUGAUAAUAUUCCUUGUUUUGAGAUCUACUUUGAUACUAAUAUAGCCACUCCAUUUGUCUUUUUUUUUUUUAAGUUGAUUUAUUUAUUUUGAGAGAGAGAGAGAAGGGGAGGGGCAGAGAGAGAAGGAGAGAGAGAGAAUCCCAAGCAGGCUCUACACCAGCAGCGCUGAGCCCGAUGAGGGGCCUGAACUCACAAACUGGGAGAUCAUGACCUGAGCUGAAACCAAGGGUUGGACGCUUAACCGACUGAGCCACCCAGUUUACCAGGCUGCUGCACAAAAUUCACUCUCCAGCCCUACUUUGGAGCAAUGAGGAACCCCAGCGUCUUGAUCUGUCGUUUUGGAGCUGCUUCAUGUGGAAGAUGGAUAGGACCAGUUUCGGCAAACCUAGUAUCUGUCCAUUGACAAGAGAUGAUGGAGUUCAAGCAGGUUUGAUGGGGCUUGUCCAAAGAAAUACAGUCCCAGAGCAGUCUUUUUAGGACCUAGUAUGAAGAACAUACAAUGCGAACAAAGAACAUGAGAAAAGACGCUUUCACAGGAAGCUUCCCAGGUUUAUUGUUUAUUUAACUGCUUUGAACGAAAUGCUUGGGUCUUACCUGAAUGAGAAUGUGGACGAGACGCAGUCAUCAUGAAGAUGAACACUGUGUUCCGGCUGAAGCUUCUGCUGUUGGACAACACUGUCUCCUGUGGCGUGGAAGACUAGCAUCAUCUUAAAGCAAGAGGGAAUCGACAACGAACAGUACUGGGUCCUACCCAGGAGGAGGUGGGUGGUGGACCCUGGUGCAUCAGCCAGUCUGGUGAUUUACUUCCCUCAGGAUGCUGUGAAAUUGAAUGAGAGCGAGAUCAUCGUCCUGCUGGUCUCAAAACUUCUGACAUGUUUGGUUUAGUAUUGUCUCUUCUGUCGGGGAACCUUAUUUUUUAAAUUAAAUUAAAUUAAAUUAAAUUAAAUUAAAUUAAAUUAAAUUUUAUUAUUUAAUUUUAUUUUAUUUUUGAGACAGAGAGAGGUGGGGGGAGAGCACGUGUGAGCAGGGGAAAGGGGUAGAGAGGGAGAACCCCAAGCAGGCACUACGCUUAGUGUGGAGCCAAACACAGGGCUCCAUCCCAUGACCCUGGGAUCUUGAGCUGAGCCAAAAUCAAGAGUCGGAUGCUCAACUGAAUGAGCCACCCAGGCACCCCCUGUCAGGAAACCUUAUUAAUGGAGUAUGUGCCUGAACAACCCUGCGGGCAGAUGCCAUCUCACUGCCCAUCAUGACCCAAAUGUUUAAUUAAUUUUUAUGGAGGAAGGAAAGUGUCUAUUCCCCUUGAAAGCUGCAGUGCAGUCCUGCGGCCUUGAUUAGUUUUGUAAGUCCAGUUCCUUGUAGAGUUUCUGGAACAUAGCAUAUACUCGAUAAAUGUGAAAUAAAUGAAUGAAUAAAUGGCCAAGUGUUAGGGCUUAUGUUUCUUGUUUUUCCCAUGGCAGAAAAGAAUAGAGCAGAAAAAAAAAUCAUCAUAUUUGUUGAUGGCCUGUUUACUAGAAUGAGUGUUUUCUUUGCCCCCAGUAGUUCAAAGCUAUCUAUAUAUUCAUCCAUUAAUUCAAAUACUUAUUGGCUCCCUACAAUAGGAAGUGCUUCCUUUGUGUGUCAGUAUGGGAUUGUGGAAUGUCCAGCUUGGUCUUAGGAGAGCAGGCUGUGUCUAUAAGAACAAAGUCCUGAACUAACCUCUCCGGCACAGCACUGUUGUCCAUGGGCCCCACACGUCGGAAACACGCUGAGCUAAUCCUCCAGUUCCAGUUCUACACAUCCCCGCUCAUGCAGCCUUUUCUAUACCUUUGACACGAGCCAACUUCAUCUUUUCUCAGCAUGAGUCACUGUCAAAAACAUACACAUUGUCAUAACUGCUGUAGCUCUAGUGCUGUCCGUUGCUUUUUAAACAAUCAUAAAAUCAAAUCUAAAGCUCACGUUGAGAGCUUGUUUUAUUGAUGACGUACAAUGGGAGAUGGAUAAGAUAUUUGGGGCCAGAACGGUUGACCAUCUACCAUCUUUAUUGAGAAAUUUCUGAUUUCCAAUCUAACUAACUCAAAUGAGUCGUAAUUCAGAGACGUGAUAAAGUUAAAUUUUCCUCUGUGCUGACUAUGAAAAGCACUUGGGAAGCACAAUAAUAACAUAGACAUGAUUGUAUAAGGAAUGCUCAAUAUACUUAAAAUAACACUUUCAAGUACCCUCAAAUACUUUGGCAUAAAAUAUUCCAUUUGAACCUUUACUAUUUCUAGGUCAGCUAUUGGCAAACUGUGGCCUGGGGUUGCGUCCAGCCUUCUCCCUGUUUUUUUAUGGCCUGUAAACUAAGAUUUUUUUUUUUUUUACAUUUUUAAGUGGUUGAAAAAAAUAAAAAGAAUAUUCUGUGAUAUGUGAAAAUUGCAGUAAAUUCAAGCUUCGACGUCCGUAAGUAAAGUUUUAUUCAACUCAGCUAUAUCCAUUUGCUUAUGUAUUAUUUGUGGCUGCUUUUGAAUGAUGAAGGGCAGAGUUUAGUUGGAACAGAGACUUUUGGAUCAGAGACCAAAGCCAGAAAUAUCUGCUAUCUGAAACUGUACACAAAAGUUUGCCUUCCUGGGUUUGAGGUACUAGAGACACAUCAAUGAACAAAACAGAGAUCUCUGUGUUGGGGGAAGUCAUCAAGAGGGCGUGACUACCAGCUGAUCCGAGAGCUAGACCCAGGUGACAGGAGGCUUCUUAGCCCCCCCCCCAUAAUCGGAAUGUACAUUCUGAGCAUCAUUCCCGUAGCCAGAGCUGUUUCAAGGGCACAACCUUAAAAAAGAAAUGUGUUGUUGAGACCCAUUUGGAUUGUAUAUGGGACUGAACCCUGUUAAGUGCUCUAUAUAAACUUUUAAGAUUCUGGCAGGUAGGUAUGAUGACCUACCAAUCUGGACUGGCCUGCUUCUUUCUUUGGUCUCUCCUUGCCCUCUGUGUAGGGGGACCAGGUUUGAAUUUCAGCUGGAGAACUCCCAAAGCUGCAAACCAACACCCUGCCCUCAGAAAACUUACAUUCAAAUACGGGAAGACAGGAAACAGUAAGCAUAAGUACAUUAUAUAUAGUAUUAUUAGGAUGUGAUAAAUGUGAUGAGAAGAAAAGAUGUAGAGGAGGGUAAAGGGAAUAAGGAUUUUCUUUUUUUGGUGGGGGGAGGAUGUUACACUUUGGAAGACAGCAAUCAGGGUAGACCUCAUUAAAAAGGUGGUACCUGAGCAAAGAAUUGAAAAGGGUGAGGAAGUGAGCCACGUGGGUGUCUGGGGAAAAGCAUUGGAGGCAGAAGGGAUAACAGCAGCUCCUCAUACGGUUGUUGUGUAGAUUGAGUUCAUGUAUUUAACUAAAAAUAGUGCCUGGCAAAUGGUAAAUUCUCAAAAAAAAAAGGGGUUCUUUUUUAGAACGAGCUAGCUGUAGACGCUCCUUUCCUCUCUGCAGUGGGCGGAUGUACUGAGUGCCUCUUGGUAGGCGCUCACUAUAGCAGAGAAAGGCUCUCCUAAGUACGCGGGGUCUUGAUAUCUUAGCUUUAUCUAUCCCAGGAUUAGCUUUCAUCCCUGGGGCUUAGCUCUCAGGGGCAGAGCCAUCCUGGAGAAUCAUGAGCUCGGGAGGUAUCAUACCUGUGGUCUGUGUAUUUAUCAGAUACGGAUCCCGGAGUCUGUCGGCACACACAGGCGCAGGGACUUGCCCUACCGUCACACAAUUAGUCAGCAGCAAAGCUUCGAUAGGCAUGGGGUGUUUUGCUUCCAGGUCUAGUGUUCUGUUCCUGCUCUGCGCUCCUCGUCCUGCAAUAAACCUAUUUUUACACGGCUUAUUUCUUCCAGUAAACUUUCAGGUGUCUUUGAGCAGGGACCACGUCUUACUCAUUUUUGUUUUCCCCUUCAGAAUCAGGCACUAAACAAACAAAAAACCAAAACCGUUGCAAGAACAGUCAGUGCUUGAAUUUGUUGGGUACCGUUUCAAAUCGUAACCACUACCUGUAAGUCUGUCAGAUAAUGCCAACGUGGGACCGACCGUCCCUUGUUUCCUGCGUUUGUAUAAAGCAUGGGGACAUAAAUUGUCCUACAAAUCAGGGAGCUCCCAGAAGAGAUACCGGACAUUUACAUUUUCAAACUUUUUUAUGUUGCUAAAUAUCAUGUGAAGAUCCUGGAGCAUAAAGAUGAUUCAUGAGCUUUGGGCUUUGAUGAGCAGUAGCGUCAGGCUGCUAGAUAAGAGAUGGCAUUUCCAGGACAAAAAAUGGGGCAGACAAUGCAGGACAAACACUUUGUUGUCCCUUGUCUUAAUCCAGAGUGGGUUCUCAAAGUGUGGUUUAUGGACAGGCGGCAUUAGCAUCACAUGAUGCUCGUCAGAAAUGCAAAUUCUUGGGGUGCCUGGGUAGUUCAGUCCACUGAGCGCCUGACUCUUAUUUCGCCUCAGGUCAUGAUCCCAAGGUCAUGGUAUUGAGCCCUGUGUCGGGCCCCACGCUGAAGCUGAAAUAAAAAAAUAAAAUAAAAUAAAUGUGUUCAACAAAUUUUUUAAAAAUGGGAGAAAUAGUUAAGGAUAUGUGAACUUCCUGGGGACUGCUGUGAGGUGACACUGGAUUAUGUUUAUCACCUGAUUCCCAUAUGUCCUUGCUCAGACUGGCCUAUUUUAGAGUGGUGUUACAGGCCCUAGGAAUUAGUAUUCAACUCAAGAGUUUGUAGCCAACAUUUCCUAAAGAUUUGGUGGGUAUUUUUUAGGUAAAUGGCUGCAGGCUCAUUUGGGUAAAGUUAUGAAAUUUCAAGGUCCUGAUGUUUGAACAGUCUGGCUUCUGUAAAAUAUUUGCUUGUAAAGUCCUGCUUUUUUUUAAUUUUUGUAAUAAAAGACACUCAAAACCUCUCAAUUUUUGUGCUUGGAGGCUCCAUGCUCUACAAACCAGAGUUAGAGAUCUCCAAGUGUCAGGCCACUAAUUGCUAUAAAUAUUUCAUUGUAAUUGCUAAUCAUGCCCAUUCUUUUUUAGAGGUUUGUUUAAACCCUUGUUUAAACAUCAGUUCUGGGUAAAUAAGGCUGAGAUGAUCUAGGAGUACAUUUUUUUCUUUUUUCUUUUCUUUCCAAGGAAGAUGGAAUAUGCUAGUGGGAAAGCCUUAGAUGUGUCAAACAUUUUGAUGAGAUGUGUGUUCAUUUGAGAAAGGAACCAGAGAGAGAGAGAGCCAAUCUGAUGUGUACUGGAGGGAGAGAGAGAGAGAGAGAGGGAAAUCUGAAGCUGAGGAUGGGGAUACAUCAACAGGGAGUGCGAAAAAAGAGCCCAUGAGACCAGAUACUGCAUUGGGAGGGCCAGAGCAAGAAUCCUCUGAUGGCAAAACUGCCUGGAAGGCUGAUAAUAGAAAUAUUAAAUGUAGAUUUUUAACAUGUCUGCUGUGUUUAUGUACUCUUUAGCAGUUGAAGCAACAGGAGAACACAACCAGUUCUGUGAUUUACAGUUUCUCUUAACAGAAGAAUGUCAAAAUUAUGUUGGCAAUAAGAGCGUUGAUAAAGGAUUUUGCCUUUCCACUCUCAUAUGAAGUUGGAGAAAUGCAGCGAUUUAGGUUUGAGAAGAGAAACAAUUUGGAGGAUAAAUUUGGUUUUGUCUUUAGGUGACCUAAACUUGAACAAUAAAGAGUAACGAGGACUUCUGUUUCCAGCGAUAUGGCAAACUAAGUUAUCUGUUAUCUCUUCCAACGCAAAACACUUAAAAAUGCUAGACAAAUUACAAUGGGCAUCCUUUCCGGUGCAUAGCUGAAUUUAUAAGAAAGAAGGGGAAACUCCAGGGCCAAAACUUGAGAGUCAAAUGAAAAAUUGGAAGGGUUUGUAGGUCUCAAUAACCAAUAUACUUGGAUUUUAAUGGCAUCACAAGGACGGAAGACAGGUUUUAGGUCCAUUGGGUAAGAAAUUGAUGAGACUUGCAGUGGCAGCAACAAUGAUGAACAAGGUGGACUAGAAAACAACUACUUUCGGCUAGUCGCUGACCAAAAAAAAGCGUUUCCUGAUGAAUGGUAACUGCAGGACUAUUCUCACAUGGUUUAGGCAUCCAAAUUAAUUUUGUCCACAUGCUCUAAUAACAUUCAAUCAAAAACUUACCAUAAUGGUGCAUCCUUGGACACCUGCCAGAAGCACGUGCCACAUCUGGAAGAGCAUGCUCUCAGUCCAGGCCUUUGCAAAACAAAUGACAGGAUUAAUCCCCAGGGUCUUCAGAUUUUGGAAUUAUUCAUGUCUUUAAGUAUGUUCAAGUGAAUAAAUAACUAAACAAAUGAGGGAAUAACAAUCAUAAUAGAGAAACAAAACCUUACGAACAGAAGAUACAGUAAAACCUUGAGUUGUGAGUAACUUGUUCUGUGAGUUCUGCAAGACGAGCGAGUGAUGUCUUACAAUAAGGGUAGUACUCGGUGUGGAAUGUCACAUGAUCACAACUGAAUCAAAGGUUCUUGAAAUUCGCUUUGAUAUGUAAGUGCUUUGGACGUAAGCAUGUUUCUGGAAUGAAUUAUGCUCACAAACCAAGGUUUUACUGUAGUAUUAGAAAAAAGAACCAGAUAGAACUCCUGGAACAAUUAUAGCAAUCGACAUUAGAAACUCCGUGGAAGGGUUAGUUGCAGAUUAAAAGUAGUUUAAGUGAGAAUCAGUAAGUAAGAAAUACAGAAAUAAUCAUGAAUUCACCAAAGAUAAAGAGGGAUUCCUUCUUUGGCUAGAUUCAUACAUCUCUUUGGGUUACAUUAUAAUUAUAGUUAUGUUGGCUUAGGAGCUGUUACAAGACUCGCAAAGAGAAGAAAAUGAGUUAGCACUCUGAAGUCUUUACAACUAUCUUAUUAGCUUAAAGAGAAGGUGAUCUCAAAAAAUUAAAAAUGGAAAUUUUCUUAUGGUCAUAAACAUGAUACAAAUUUCUCUUACCCUGUCAUUGGCAGGUGAACAACCAAAGAAAAGUGGGUGUCAUUGAAUGCCUCAGUAACAGCUGGGAUAGUAAACACAGCAUGCUCCAAGGGCUCUUCUAGAGGGAAGAGUGGGAAAGUGUGAUGAAAUAAUGAUCACUUUUUCUUAUUUCAAAAUUCUCAAUGUGCAUAACAUACUACCAUUUGUAAAAAUAAAAAUAAUGUGUCUUACAUAAUAUUUAUUUUACGUAUAUGCAUGCAAUACACAGGAAACUGGUAACGAAGGCUGCCUCUGGUGAGGGGAAUUGUGUACCUAGGGGGAUAGGUAUGGGAGAGAGACUUAUUUCUCACAGUUCUCAACCUUUCUAGUCUUAGGACCCCUUUUGGUCUUUUAAAUUUUUUUUAAUGUUUAUGUAUUUACUUAAACUUUUUUUAAACGUUUAUUUAGUUUUGAGAGAGAGAGAGAGAAGUGGAGGAGGGGCAGAGAGAGAGGGAGACACAGAGUCCAAAGCAGGCUCCAGUUUCUGAGCUGUCAGACAGAACCUGACGCAGAGCUCGAAUUCAUGAACCAUGAGAUAAUGACCUGAGUUGGACGCUUAACUGAUUGAGCCACCCAGGCACCCCAGGACCCCUUUUGGUCUUAAAAAUUAUUCAAGUUCCCCAAGUGUUUUUGUUUAUAUGAGUAAUAUGUUCAUCAAUAUUUACUGUACUAGAAGUUAAAACAGAAAUCUUAAAAAGAUCUAUUUAAUAAUUCACUUAAGGGGCAUCUGGGUGGCUUGGUCGGUUGAGCGUCCGACUUUGGCUCAGGUCAUGAUCUCACGGUCUGUGAGUUCGAGCCCCGCGUCGGGCUCUGUGCUGACAGCUCAGAGCCUGGAGCCUGUUUCAGAUUCUGUGUUUCCCUCUCUCUCUGCUCCUCCCCUGUUCAUGCUCUGUCUC